rnacentral:rRNA from 1 species
AUUGAACGCUGGCGGCAUGCUUUACACAUGCAAGUCGAACGGCAGCACGGGGGCAACCCUGGUGGCGAGUGGCGAACGGGUGAGUAAUAUAUCGGAACGUACCCAGGAGUGGGGGAUAACGUAGCGAAAGUUACGCUAAUACCGCAUACGAUCCAUGGAUGAAAGCAGGGGACCGCAAGGCCUUGCGCUCAUGGAGCGGCCGAUAUCUGAUUAGCUAGUUGGUAGGGAAAGCCUACCAAGGCGACGAUCAGUAGCUGGUCUGAGAGGACGACCAGCACACUGGGACUGAGACACGGCCCAGACUCCUACGGGAGGCAGCAGUGGGGAAGUUUUGGACAAUGGGCGCAAGCCUGAUCCAGCAAUGCCGCGUGAGUGAAGAAGGCC